AUACUUACCUGGACGGGGUCGACGGCUGAUCAAGAAGAGUCGUGGCCUAGGCUAGUGGUCCACAUUGCACUUGGUGGAUGCGUUGGCUUACCAUCUCCCCAAGAGGGAGAGUGGACGUCAUAAUUUAUGGUAGAGGGGGUACGCGUUCGCGCGGCCCCUGC
rnacentral:snRNA from 2 species